AUUGAACGCUGGCGGCAGGCCUAACACAUGCAAGUCGAGCGAGCGGCGGACGGGUGAGUAAUGUAUGGGGACUGCCCGAAAGAGGGGGAUAACUACUGGAAACGGUGGCUAAUACCGCAUACUAUUGGAUAACCCAUAUGGGAUUAGCGAGUAGGUGGGGUAAAGGCUCAACUAGUCGACGAUCGCUAGCUGGUCUGAGAGGAGGACCAGCCACACUGGAACUAAGACAAGGCCCAGACUCCUACGGAGGCAGCAGUGGGGAAUAUUGCACAAUGGGCGCAAGCCUGAUGCAGCCAUGCCGCGUGUAUGAAGAAGGCCUUAGGGUUGUAAAGUACUUUCAGCGGGGAGGCGUUACCCGCAGAAGAAGCACGGGCUAACUCCGUGCCAGCCGCCGCGGUAAUAC
rnacentral:rRNA from 1 species